UACGGGGGGAGCAAGCGUUGUUCGGAUUUACUGGGCGUAAAGGGCGCGUAGGCGGCCAGCACAAGUCAGUUGUGAAAUCUCCGAGCUUAACUCGGAAAGGUCAACUGAUACUGUGCGGCUAGAGUGCGGAAGGGGCAACUGGAAUUCUUGGUGUAGCGGUGAAAUGCGUGGAUAUCAAGAGGAACACCUGCGGCGAAGGCGGGUUGCUGGGCCGACACUGACGCUGAGGCGCGAAAGCCAGGGGAGCGAACGGG
rnacentral:rRNA from 1 species